UUGGCCAAGCUGGUCAUGAACUCCCAGCCUCAAGGGAUCCUCCCACCUCAGCCUCCCAAAAUGCUGGGAUUAUAGACAUUAGCCACCGCACCGGCCAGGCCUUGCUUUUCAAA